AUGGUGCUCGAGUCGACGAUGAUCUGCAUAGACAACUCGGAGUGGAUGCGGAACGGCGACUACUCGCCGUCCCGCUUCCAGGCGCAGGCCGACGCCGUCAACCUCAUCUGCGGCGCCAAGACCCAGUCGAACCCGGAGAAUACGGUGGGCGUCAUGACGAUGGCCGGCAAGGGCGUGCGCGUGCUUGUCACUCCCACCAGCGACCUCGGCAAGAUCCUCGCCUGUAUGCACGGGCUGGAAGUUGGAGCUGAAGCAAACUUGGCCGCAGCUAUUCAGGUUGCUCAGCUGGCGCUAAAGCAUCGCCAGAAUAAGAGGCAACAGCAGAGAAUUAUUGUUUUCAUUGGAAGCCCUGUGACAUACGACAAGAAGGUUUUGGAGACAAUAGGGAAGAAGCUGAAGAAGAAUAAUGUUGCCCUUGACGUUGUUGAUUUUGGUGAAACUGAUGAUGAAAAGCCCGAGAAACUGGAAGCGCUGAUCGCUGCUGUGAACAGCAGUGAUAGCAGCCACAUCGUCCAUGUCCCUCCGGGUGAUCAUGCCCUUUCUGAUGUUCUUAUAAGCACUCCUAUCUUUACUGGUGAAGAAGGUGGAAGUGGCUUUGCUGCUUCUGCAGCAGCUGCUGCAGCCACCGGAGCUACUGGAUAUGAUUUUGGCGUGGACCCAAAUGUGGAUCCAGAGUUGGCACUUGCCCUACGGUUGUCUAUGGAGGAAGAACGAGCUAGGCAAGAAGCUAUCGCGAAGAAGGCUGCAGAAGACAACAAGGAUCAGGCCUCAAGCUCUACUGAUGCUAUUAUGGCUGAAGCAGAACUUACCUUAAAUGCUCCUGCUGAUGUUGACGCAGAUCUACUGAAGGAUGAUGAUGAUGCUCAGCUACUACAGCAAGCACUCGCUAUGUCAAUGGAUGAGGGUGCUUCAGGAGCUGCAGCCGUGGCUGAUGCUGCUAUGGCAGAAGCUGCUGCAGAUGACCAGGAUUUGGCAUUGGCUCUUCAAAUGUCUGUCCAGGAUGCAGAGGCGGCUGGUCAAUCUGAUAUGAGCAAAGUGUUUGAAGACAGAUCAUUUGUGACAUCCAUCCUUAAUUCGCUUCCUGGUGUUGACCCCAAUGACCCAUCUGUGAAAGAUCUACUGGCAUCUUUGCAUGGCCAAGGAGAGCAGGAGGAGAAGAAAGAUACGGAGGACAAGCCAGACAAGCCUGAAGAUGGGAAGAACUGA
rnacentral:rRNA from 1 species